CCCUCCUCUUCCUCCUGCCCCGCCGCCAAGCCGGGCUACGUCCGGAGCUCCGGGCCCGAGCCCCGCGCGGAGGCUCAGCUUGCUGCCGCCGAGCACAAAUGCAAGAGAUCUGGGGCCUGGGUGAGCCACGUAUCGCCCGUGUCAAACCAAUCUGUGUAUUACGGCGCGGCCGGUCGCCUGCAAGACCCCAAAGGCACGCGCCGUGCGUCGGGCCGAGCGGCCCGCAGCUAGCGCAGCUGCUUGCUGCGCAGGAUAUGUUGUUAUGACAUGUAUGAUGUGUUCAGCAUGCGUCUUGCCUUUUGCUGGGGCACGCAUGAUCUGUCUAUAGCACGCAGCCUGUUUCUGUCAUGACAUGGGUGGUAUACAGCCUUAGUACGGAGAGGUUCAACUCAUAGGCAUCUCCCAGCACCAUGAGCUAUGCAGGCAACAUGUCAUACUUGGCAAAGACCCCACCACUGCCCCACACAACAUUGAGGACACCUCUGAGAAGCCCAAGCCACAGCCCGCUGGCAUGAACAGCGAGGACGAGGAGGAAGAGGAUGAUGGGAGACAUACGACUAUGGGUCCAGCUAUGCUGCAUGCCAGAACCUGUUUGAGACUCCACAUAGUCCAGUCAGUCUUGGCAUAGGUGAGCCCAAUGCCAGGGAAGGAAUCCUUAGCUGCUGCCACUGUGGCCUUGAGGUAUUCCUCAUCCAUACCCGCAGAACACCUGCACCAGAUAAGGAAGAGAAAAAAGAUGACUGGGGAUGACAUUCAAUGAGAUCCUGCAAGCCGGUGCUUCAGGAUUAUUCAAUAACAAAAUCAGUGCAAAGAAAAAAGUUAUAUUAUUUGAAAAAUAAUUCAUCUUUAUUCAUCUUUAUUAGUUCAUAAUAUAUGCUGCAGAGUGCCUACCAGUUCUGAAAGCAACCAAUGACUUGUUACUGUGCAGUGUGACACAACUCAGGAUCAGUGACAAACACAGUGUAAUAAUCAUAAAUGAACAGCAAGCACCACAAAAUUAAUAGGUGCAUUGACAAUGUUAUAUUCCUACAUGUACACCAAGCACCACACAAUUCCUAACAGGCCCCAGAACAGCAGGGGCAGAUAGAGCACAGUACCCCACAACGCAUUACUGUGGCUCACUGUUAAAGUGCUCUUUCAAAACCUCCCUGAGCUGUAUAGCUCUAUGCUGAGCUCAUCUAAUCGCUAUUGUGUCUGGCUUUUUAAAAACUCAGCAGACAGUCACUCCACCCCCACCCUGGCAGCAACUCUUCCCCCUUUGCUUCACAGAUAUAUGCAGGACACAGCAGACAGCUAUAACCAUUGGGACGUUUAUUUCACCAGUCUUGUGAGUAAAUGCCAGUGUCUUUUCAAUCUUUCAAAAGCACAUUCAACUGUCAUUCUGCACCUGCUGAGCCUGUAGCUGAAUUCUUCGAUGGUGCUGUCGAGGUGGCCAGUAUACGGUUUCAUGACUCAGGAGAGAAAGGGGUAGACUGGGUCCCCAGGAUCACGACUGGCAUUUGAACAUUGCCAAUGGUAAUUCACCAGCCAGAAAAGAAAGUCCCUACUUGUAGCUUUCUGAACAGUCCUGUGUUCUUAAAGAUGCAAACAUCAUGCACCUUCUCUCACCAGCCAUCACUGAUGUUGGUGAAGCAACCCUGGAGAUUCACAAUGCUUGCAUAACCAUAGACAGGUAGCCCCUUCUGUUGAUGUACUCUGCGGCAAGGUGGUCUGGUGCCAAAAUAUGGACAUACAUGCCAUAUAUUGCCCCAGUGCAGUUCAGGAAUCCCAUUGCUGCACAGACAUCCAUUUUGUCCUGUAUAUUGCUGAAAGUCACAGUCCAGCAUAGUAGGAGACGAUUAAUAGUACUGGCAUGACAGUGGCCUCUGCCUCCAACUCCCAAAUGAUUGCCCACUACCCAGUAGCAAUCUAGCAUUGCAACUUUCCGCAGUGCAAUUGUUACUCAUUUCUCCACUGUCAGUGCAGCACUCAUUUUGGUGUCCCUGCACUGGAGGGCUGGGGUGAGCUAGGUACACAGAUCCAGGAAUGUGGCCUUGCACAUCUGAAAGAUCUACGGUCCCUGCUCAUCAUCUCAAGUCUGCAUUAUGAUGCAAUCCCACCAGAAAGUGCUUGUUUCUCAGGCUCAAAAGUGGCACUCGACCAUCUGCAGCUCCUUCUUGAACCGGUUCUCGCUAUGUCCCACAGCAGUCUGUCCUCCAAGAAAUUGUCAUGGUCCCCGCGUACUUGGUUUUUCUUACAGCUCUGCUAAUGCCGGCAGCUCAUGCAUCUUGUGUUUGCAAUGCUCAUGACAAUAGUGCAGAGCUGUGUAGGCUCCAUGCUUCUGUCAGAGAUGAUGGCCAGUGUGAUGUUUCACUCGUAUUCUUUAUGAAAAUAUGCUUGAUAUGAAUAUGACAUAACUGAGAUAUAUUUUACGCAAGGUGGCUCGUGUAAGAUAUCAUUAGAAAGGUUAUGAUUUACUGAAUGUGAUUAUACAAAGUAUAUGCCUGUAUCAUUUCUGUAUAUGAAGUUAGGAAUAUUAACUAUGUAUCUGUAUUUCAAAUGUGUUACUUCGGGUGUGACCCCCAACCAGCCCUUCAGGUACAACAUGGAAAAUGGAAAAGCCAGACAGGGCUGAUGGCCCAUUAGCAGAGACAAUGGACCGUGAAAGAGCUUAGUUUUCCUGUGGACGCUUCAGACAGCCUGUGAGUAAUGGCUGCCACAGCCCUGCAGAAACAUGGGUCUGAGUCACCUGGAACUGGAUCCACCCCCUAGAAUGCUAGUGUUCUCCCACUGGGUGACAAAGGGUUCCCGCCAUACACAAGAGCUAUAUAAGGCAGGGGAGUGACAUCAUCAUGGUUCUCCUCCAACUCCCCACCCAAAGAGGCACUAAAAAACACCUGGAAGCAAGAACUGAACUGCAGGGAGAAGGGUUGAGCCCAAGUUGGAAGGGAAUCCAGCUUGUGAGUAAUAAUACCUGAGGUCUCAAGCUGAAAACCAGUGCAGCUGUCUUUCAAGACUUUCUGUAAUCUGUCUGCAACAAUAUCGAGGGUGAGAAAUUACGAUUUGUAACCAAUUUCUUUAGUGAAAUAAGCUUAUUUUGCGGGUUCUGUUUUAUUUGCUUAGUAAUCUGCUUUGUUCUUUAACCACUUAAAA